GACGAACGCUGGCGGCGUGCUUAACACAUGCAAGUCGAACGGAAAGGCCCUGCUUUUGUGGGGUGCUCGAGUGGCGAACGGGUGAGUAACACGUGAGUAACCUGCCCUUGACUUUGGGAUAACUUCAGGAAACUUGGGCUAAUACCGGAUAGGAGCUCCUGCUGCAUGGUGUGGGUUGGAAAGUUUCGGCGGUUGGGGAUGGACUCGCGGCUUAUCAGCUUGUUGGUGGGGUAGUGGCUUACCAAGGCUUUGACGGGUAGCCGGCCUGAGAGGGUGACCGGCCACAUUGGGACUGAGAUACGGCCCAGACUCCUACGGGAGGCAGGAGUGGGGAAUAGUGCACAAUGGGCGGAAGCCUGAUGCAGCAACGCCGCGUGCGGGAUGACGGCCUUCGGGUUGUAAACCGCUUUCGCCUGUGACGAAGCGGGAGUGACGGUAAUGGGUAAAGAAGCACCGGCUAACUACGUG
rnacentral:rRNA from 1 species